GAGUAUGUGGCUUAAUUUGACUCAACGCGGAAAAGCUUAUCUGGUCCGGACGCAGUGAGGAUUGACAGACAGUUUCAGGAGUGGUUCUUGGUAAACAAUUGAGAGAGUUGAAGUUCUUUCAUGAUCUUGUGAGAGGUGGUGCAUGGCCGUUCUUAGUUCGUGUAGUGAUAUGUCUGCCUAAUCGCGUCACGAUAACCUAUUGGUCGACAACCCAAUUAUCACAACUGCAGCAUAACUCCCCUUGGGUGGGCGAGGCUCUGUGUAGGAUAGACCUCUGAACAGUACGCAACGAACGCGAUCGUAAUCCCUUGUUGAGUGGCCAUCCUGUAAGCUGCUGGAUUAGGAACCCAGUGGUAUUAUCUCAGCCACAGAUUUUCUGGUUGUAAUGGGCCAGUUUUUGAAACUCGGGGAACAUCUGUGACUUUCUUUCUUAACGCA
rnacentral:rRNA from 1 species